GUUUGGUCCUAGCCUUGAAAUCAAUUUUUACUUAAUUUACACAUGCAAGUAUCCGCACCCCUGUGAAAACGCCCUUAAAUCCCUGCUAGGGAUAAGGAGCUGGUAUCAGGCACAUCAUAUGCCCAAGACACCUAGCUAUGCCACACCCACAAGGGAUUUCAGCAGUGAUUAACAUUGAACAUCAGCGUCAGCUUGAUUCAGUUAAAGUAAACAGAGCCGGCUAAUCUGGUGCCAGCCGCCGCGGUUACACCACGUGGCUCAAAUUGACCCUUGCCGGCGUAAAGAGUGAUUUAAGACCCCCAUCCCCCUUUUUGGCGUCAAAUCUGCACUAAGCUGUGACACGCUUGUUCCCCAGAAGCACAGAAACGAAAGUUACCCCAACUUAAACAACUUGAACUCACGACAACCAAGAAACAAACUGGGAUUAGAUACCCCACUAUGCUUGGUAGUAAACCUUAAAUUACACCCAAAUCGCCAGGGAACUACGAGCAAAGCUUAAAACCCAAAGGACUUGACGGUACCCCAAAUCCACCUAGAGGAGCCUGUCCUAUAAUCGAUAACCCCCGCUUUACCUCACCACUUUUAGCUAAUCAGCCUGUAUACCUCCGUCGUCAGCUUACCCCGUGAGCGAAAUAUAGUGAGCUUAAUGCUUUUCCACCAAUACGUCAGGUCAAGGUGCAACUUAUGAAGUGGAAAGAGAUGGGCUACACUCCCUAACCUAGGAUACACGAAAAACUACUUAUGAAAUCUAGUUUGAAGGCGGAUUUAGAAGUAAAAAGAAAUUAGAAUGCUCUUUUUAACCCGGCACUGGGGUGUGUACACACCGCCCGUCACCCUCUUCAAAGUCUUAUUACAGUGCUUAACUCCCUAUGACAUAACAGAAGAGGCAAGUCGUAACAUGGUAAGUAUACCGGAAGGUGUGCUUGGAAACACAAUAUAGCUUAAUAUUAAAGCACUUCGCUUACACCGAAUAGAUCUCUGUGAAACCCAGAAUAUUGUGAGCCAAUCCUCUAGCCCCAAUUCCCUUUAUACAACUACAUAAUCUUACUCACCAACCAAAACAUUUUAACGAACUAGUAAAGGAGAUUAAAAAAUCAUUAGGAGCUACAAAAAUAGUACCGCAAGGGAAAGAUGAAAUAAAAAUGAAACAACUUUUAAGCAAAAAAUAGUAGAGAAUAACCCUCGUACCUUUUGCAUCAUGGUUUAACUAGUCUAAUCAAGCAAAAAGACCUUCAGUUUGACCCCCCGAAACUAAACGAGCUACUUUGAGGCAGCUUAAUGAGCUAACCCGUCUCUGUUGUAAAAGAGUGGGAAGACCUUUAAGUAGAGGUGACAGACCUACCGAGUUUAGUGAUAGCUGGUUGCUUAAGAAAAGGACCUUAGUCCGUACUAAAUUGACUUUUGUAUAAAAAAAUCUCCCCAUUAAUUUAGGCCCACUCAAGUAAGGUACAGCCUGCUUGAAAAAGGACACAACCUUCUCAUAUGGGUAAUAAAUGCAACUUUACCACCAAGUAGGCCUAAAAGCAGCCACCUUUGUUAAAAGCGUCACAGCUUAAUCGUUAACUAAGCCUAAUCACAUUCACCGCAUAAAACCCUACACUACCAUUAAGCAAUUCCAUAUCAAUAUGGAAAAUUUUAUGUUAAAACUAGUAACAAGAAGCCACACUUCUCUUUAAUGCAAGCUCAUAUCAGACUGGACUAACCACUGAUAAAUAACACCCAUAACUCUAUAAUAGUAACUAAUCAAGAAAAUCCUACUCCAUUUAAUGUUAACCUAACACAAGAGCAUUACAAGAAAGAUUAAAAGAAAAAGAAGGAACUCGGCAAACAUUGACCCCGCCUGUUUACCAAAAACAUCGCCUCUUGCUCUAAAUAAGAGGUCCAGCCUGCCCAGUGACACUGUUCAACGGCCGCGGUAUCCUAACCGUGCGAAGGUAGCGUAAUCACUUGUUCUUUAAAUGAGGACUAGUAUGAAAGGCACCACGAGAGUCAUACUGUCUCCUUUUUUCAAUCAGUUAAACUAAUCUCCCCGUGAAGAAGCGAGGAUAAUCAUAUAAGACGAGAAGACCCUAUGGAGCUUUAAACGAAUAACAUUUGCCUACCACUCUAUUUAAUUUCAGAAAAAUCCUUUACUUUGGCAUUAUACUUUAUAAGUUUUUGAUUGGGGUGAUCACGGAAUAAAAAAUAACCUCCGCAAUGAAAGACACUCCCCCUCUAAGUCAAGAGCUACAACUCUACACAUCAACAAAUUGACACUAAUUGACCCAAUAUAUUGAUCAAUGAACUAAGUUACCCUAGGGAUAACAGCGCAAUCCAUUUCAAGAGCUCCUAUCGACAAAUGGGUUUACGACCUCGAUGUUGGAUCAGGGUAUCCUAAUGGUGUAGCCGCUAUUAAAGGUUCGUUUGUUCAACGAUUAAAACCCU
rnacentral:ncRNA from 1 species